UUAUCUUUUCUUAUCUCUGAAGCCUCCUCCAAGAUGAACAAGAAGAAUAGGAAGAACUUAGAAGAAGGAGAAAGACUAAUAGUUGAGGUUGAGUGAGGUGAGGAGCUACUCGCUUGAAAGAAUGAGGGUGCGUGAAACGUCGUCGUGCACUUCCAACUGUUGAAGCUGCCAGCAUGAUCUGAGCUUUCUUUUUUAUAAGAAAGGCUAGAUCAUGUGGUAGCUUCAUCUGUUGACUGGAGCACGGUAGACCCCUUAUCAGCCCCCAACUGUUAAUCCACCAGAUUCUUAGCCAUGGAUUUCUUCAAGAACCCAUUAGGGUUUUCAACCCUAGCUAGAAAAGUGUAUGUAUGAAUUCGCCAGAUUAGACUGCAUGACCACAGUAACAAUAUUUAGCAGAUCUGGUAAGAUAUAUAUGGACAAGGACCUCUAUUAUAACAACAGUAGGUAAUAUGGGGGAGGUGCUUCAUAUUUGCAGAUCUGGUAGGAGGACAAGAAAAAGAUUAAAAAAAAAGAAUCAGAGAAUCUGUUUUUGGGGUUGUUCAAACACAUACAUCUCAAGGUGCAGGCAUGCAUGGAACGGUUUGGCAUUUCUGAACUUUAAUUUCUGUGAUCGAUUGAUUGAUUGAUGUGGUCCUAAAAUCCCAUUAA